CGAGACCUACGGGGGGCAGCAGUGGGGAAUAUUGCACAAUGGGCGAAAGCCUGAUGCAGCAACGCCGCGUGAAGGAAGAAGGGUUUCGGCUCGUAAACUUCUUUCAACAGGGACGAAAGAAAUGACGGUACCUGAAUAAGCCACGGCUAACUACGUGCCAGCAGCCGCGGGAAUACGUAGGUGGCAAGCGUUGUCCGGAUUUACUGGGUGUAAAGGGCGUGCAGCCGGGCUGACAAGUCAGAUGUGAAAUCCCGCGG
rnacentral:rRNA from 1 species